rnacentral:rRNA from 1 species
UACGUAGGGGGCAAGCGUUGUCCGGAUUUAUUGGGCGUAAAGCGCGCGUAGGCGGCGCGGUAUGUCGUGCGUGAAAUCUCCCGGCUUAACUGGGAGGGGCCGUGCGAAACUGCCGGGCUUGAGGUCGGAAGGGGAAAGUGGAAUUCCGGGUGUAGUGGUGGAAUACGUAGAUAUCCGGAGGAACACCAGCGGCGAAGGCGGCUUACUGGACCACGACUGACACUGAGGCACGAAAGCGUGGGUAGCAAACAGG